rnacentral:rRNA from 1 species
UACGAAGGGGGCUAGCGUUGCUCGGAAUCACUGGGCGUAAAGCGCACGUAGGCGGACUCUUAAGUCGGUGGUGAAAUCCUGGAGCUCAACUCCAGAAUUGCCUUCGAUACUGCAUGGCUUGAGACCGGAAGAGGUAAGUGGAACUGCGAGUGUAGAGGUGAAAUUCAUAGAUAUUCGCAAGAACACCAGUGGCGAAGGCGGCUUACUGGUCCGGUUCUGACGCUGAGGCGCGAAAGCGUGGGGAGCAAACAGG